rnacentral:rRNA from 1 species
UACGUAGGGUGCAAGCGUUGUCCGGAAUUAUUGGGCGUAAAGAGCUCGUAGGCGGUUUGUCGCGUCUGCCGUGAAAGUCCGGGGCUCAACUCCGGAUCUGCGGUGGGUACGGGCAGACUAGAGUGAUGUAGGGGAGACUGGAAUUCCUGGUGUAGCGGUGAAAUGCGCAGAUAUCAGGAGGAACACCGAUGGCGAAGGCAGGGUCUCCUGGGCAUUAACUGACGCUGAGGAGCGAAAGCAUGGGGAGCGAACAGG